rnacentral:lncRNA from 1 species
AAACUUCAAGAAAGGAUGCACUAGAUUUAAUUGAAAAUGUUAAGAUUGCCCAAAAAAGGAUUACUUAGAGUUGAUCAAGCUCAAGAUGAACAAACCUACCUUGAAAAUUUAGCAGUACAGAGAAAUGCUUCUGCUUUUUUUGAAAAUUAUGAUCAGAGUGGGAUACAAGAGUUAUUAACUACGGCACUAGCCAGGUGGUUGUCUACAAAAGAGGAUGGGUGCUCUCAACUGGAGUUCCCAAGUGGAAUUAUGAGUCAAAUGAACAAUGUCGGUUUCUCCACUGCGAUCCUACUGAUGCCGGUGGACCCUACUGCCCUCUUAGACUACAGAGAAAUCCACCAGAUCAUAAGGGAGUUGGCUGUUGGAAUUUAUUGCUUAAAUCAAAUUCCUUCCAUCAGUUUAGAAGCUAAUUAUGAUCAGAGUUCUUCUUGUCAAUUACCUCCAGCUUAUUUUGAUACCAGAAUUGGGCAGAUUCUGAUCCAUAUUGACUACAUGUUGAAAGCACUGUGGCAUGGAACAUACAUGCCCAAAGAGAAACAAACCAGGUUCUCCCAAAUGUGGUGUACCAUCUUGGACAUUGAUCCAGAUGGGAAGCCUCAAACAAUUAAAGAGAUUUUUGCAGCGUUUAGUUCAGUAGGGUUGGUUGAUAUUACACAGGAUCCAGACUUUAAUGGAAUCUAUGAUGAAGACAUGAAUGAAGAUCCAACAUAUGAUCCAAAUAGCCCUGAAGAAAAAGCUGUAUUUAUGAAAUAUGCUGAAAAUAUUCUGCUAAAAUUAACAUUCAGCACCACACAAGUUCAACAGUGUGAAAAUGUCUUUAUAUUUGAAGCAGCCUAUUGGCUUACCAAUGCUAUAAAAUAUACUCAGGAUUAUCUUGAUAUUUGUACCUAUCAGAGACUACAGCAAAGAUUAUAUCUUCAAAAAAGGUUAUUCAAAAACACUUUGAGAAGAAAAAAGAAAUCAGAAAAGGGAUAG